CCUACGUGAGGCAGCAGUGAGGAAUAUUGGUCAAUGGCCGUAAGGCUGAACCAGCCAAGUAGCGUGAGGGAAGACUGCCCUAUGGGUUGUCAACCUCUUUUAUGCGGGGAUAAAGGUGUCCACGUGUGGAUGUUUGCAGGUACCGCAUGAAUAAGGAUCGGCUAAUUCCGUGCCAGCAGCCGCGGUAAUACGGAGGAUCCGAGCGUUAUCCGUAUUUAUUGGGUUUAAAGGGUUCGUAGGCGGCCUUUUAAGUCAGCGGUGAAAGUCUGUGGCUCAACCAUAGAAUUGCCGUUGAAACUGGUAGGCUUGAGAUGUCGAGAGGUAUGAGGAAUGCGAAGUGUAGCGGUGAAAUGCUUAGAUAUUGCGCAGAACUCCGAUUGAGAAGGCAGCAUACCGGCGGCGAGCUGACGCUGAGGCACGAAAGCGUGGGUAUCGAACAGGAUUAGAUACCCCAGUAGUC
rnacentral:rRNA from 1 species